AAAGUCGCCUUUAUAUGUAAACCACGUUAUGAACUUUUAUAUUGGAAACAGAAUUUUUAUUUACUGUAACGCCGUACGUAUCUUGAUGUUUAUGCAUGUACGCGAUGCAUGCGAAAAUUGCAUGAUCGACAGAAGAAAAUAUUUGGGUGACUCGUCAAUACAAAAUUUUCGCCACAACAGCCAAAACGUUUUGUUAUUGCCUUGCAUAAUACAUGUUCAAUUGCAGAUAAAAUUUCAAGAAUUAAAAUUUCUUACGAAAAAUUUACAAAUCAUUAUUCUCAGUAAGAAUAAAAUUGUCAAUGGCAAUGCGUAUUCUUUCUACAAAUUAUAAUUCUUCCGACAUAUAAUAAUUAGUGUUUCAAGUCAUUGACCAAUCAGGUUGCAGAACGGAGCAGCUGAGGUCAGGCCCUUUUCGCUGACCAUCCAACCGCAGCACAAAUCCCUGAGUAUAUGCCCUGUUAUUAUAAACUGUACCUUAUAGUUCCAAUCAUUUUCGUCACAUUGAUUAGCGUUUUUUUCCAAGUUGUCUUCGAGAUGUACUGUAAUGUUGAUUGUAAUGAGUCUUCUGUACUAGCCUAGAAAAGAGCUUAGGAAUUGGAAAGACGCGACUGUUAUGGUGAGGGGGGGAGGGGUUCUACUCCCAGAACAUUUUCGCAAGUUCGAGGUUUCCCACGUUUGACGUUUAUAAGCGACUUAUUUAUACUAGCUGAGGAGGUUUUUGAACAAGGUUUCAUCAAUUUUAAAGAUCAAUCAAGAUUUUUUGACAAGUUUAAUCUAAUCUGAUUUAUUCACGAGUUGUAACCUGUAAUUGUAUACAUCUCGCGGUACCUCAAAGAAAUCCGACUCAUCUAGUGAAUAAGUUAAAAAAGGCCCUGACUGCAGGGAGUUUCCAUUAGUACUUUUGAAAAUGACAAUAGACUGAAGUUUUGUUUUCUGCAUGAG